rnacentral:rRNA from 1 species
GUAGGGAAUCUUCCACAAUGGACGCAAGUCUGAUGGAGCAACGCCGCGUGAGUGAAGAAGGGUUUCGGCUCGUAAAGCUCUGUUGGUAGUGAAGAAAGAUAGAGGUAGUAACUGGCCUUUAUUUGACGGUAAUUACUUAGAAAGUCACAGCUAACUACGUGCCAGCAGCCGCGGUAAUACGUAGGUGGCAAGCGUUGUCCGGAUUUAUUGGGCGUAAAGCGAGCGCAGGCGGUUAGAUAAGUCUGAAGUUAAAGGCUGUGGCUUAACCAUAGUACGCUUUGGAAACUGUUUAACUUGAGUGCAAGAGGGGAGAGUGGAAUUCCAUGUGUAGCGGUGAAAUGCGUAGAUAUAUGGAGGAACACCGGUGGCGAAAGCGGCUCUCUGGCUUGUAACUGACGCUGAGGCUCGAAAGCGUGGGGAGCAAACAGGAUUAGAUACCCUGGUAGUCCACGCCGUAAACGAUGAGUGCUAGGUGUUAGACCCUUUCCGGGGUUUAGUGCCGCAGCUAACGCAUUAAGCACUCCGCCUGGGGAGUACGACCGCAAGGUUG